CGCGUGAGUAACCUGCCUUACACAAGGGGAUAGCCUCUGGAAACGGAGAAUAAUACCCUAUGAAACCAGACAAUCGCAUGAUAAUCUGGUCAAAAUGUUUAGUGGUGUAAGAUGGACUUGCGUCUGAUUAGCUAGUUGGUGAGAUAACAGCUCACCAAGGCAACGAUCAGUAGCCGGCUUGAGAGAGUGUACGGCCACAUUGGGACUGAGACACGGCCCAG
rnacentral:rRNA from 1 species